rnacentral:rRNA from 1 species
UGAGGAAUAUUGGUCAAUGGGUGCAAGCCUGAACCAGCCAUCCCGCGUGAAGGACGACUGCCCUAUGGGUUGUAAACUUCUUUUGUAUAGGGAUAAACCUACCCUCGUGAGGGUAGCUGAAGGUACUAUACGAAUAAGCACCGGCUACCUCCGUGCCAGCAGCCGCGGUAAUACGGAGGGUGCAAGCGUUAUCCGGAUUUAUUGGGUUUAAAGGGUCCGUAGGCGGACUUAUAAGUCAGUGGUGAAAGCCUGUCGCUUAACGAUAGAACUGCCAUUGAUACUGUAAGGCUUGAGUAUAGUUGAGGUAGCUGGAAUAAGUAGUGUAGCGGUGAAAUGCAUAGAUAUUACUUAGAACACCGAUUGCGAAGGCAGGUUACCAAGAUAUAACUGACGCUGAGGGACGAAAGCGUGGGGAGCGAACA